GUGGGGAAUAUUGCACAAUGGAGGAAACUCUGAUGCAGCAACGCCGCGUGGAGGAUGACGCAUUUCGGUGUGUAAACUCCUUUUAUAAGGGAAGAUAAUGACGGUACCUUAUGAAUAAGCACCGGCUAACUCCGUGCCAGCAGCCGCGGUAAUACGGAGGGUGCAAGCGUUACUCGGAAUCACUGGGCGUAAAGGAUGUGUAGGCUGUACUAUAAGUCAGGAGUGAAAUCCAACGGCUCAACCGUUGAACUGCUUUUGAAACUGUUGUACUAGAAUAUGGGAGAGGUAGAUGGAAUUGGUGGUGUAGGGGUAAAAUCCGUAGAUAUCACCAGGAAUACCGAUUGCGAAGGCGAUCUACUGGAACAUUAUUGACGCUGAGACAUGAAAGCGUGGGGAGCAAACAGGAUUAGAUACCCUUGUAGUCC
rnacentral:rRNA from 1 species